AGCUUUCUCCGCGGACCUUCAACUUCAAGACCUUCUACUUCAAGACCUUCAACUUCUAAACAACUUAAGGGAUAUUCUCGUCAUACUGCACUGUCCAUGACGUGCAUGUCGGGUCAUCGACAUGCAUGUUCAAUACCAUUAGUGCACAUGCUGCACCAGACUAUAUUUACGGACGUUGACUGUUUGCUUUAGGCACUGUUUCAAGCAUUGUACGAUGGCCGAUAACAAAAGUAUUUGUUAACGUUUUCAAGUUCCAUUCGGAGUAUCCGAAACUACGACGCAAUGUUAGUCGGAACUAACGUAUCUGGUUAAUCAUGUUAUCGCACGAUGUUCUUGCUCAUUGGCAAACAUUAUUUCAGCAGUCGAUACGUCCUCCAAACUUCAGUAACUGUUACUAUAUAGUCCCCGUUCGUCACAAACGACCGUUGACAUUUUGUCAACCUCAAAUUCGAAUAUAUUAACCGUUUACACGCACGAGAAUAUCCCUUUAUCCAAACUAGCAAGUGUGUCUACUGUUUUCUUACUAGUCAAACAAAAGUUUGUCACAGCAUGUGCGCAGUUCACUUUACCUAUGUGCAUUCAUACUAAAAGCCAUUCGUCUACAAGCAAGUUAUUUAUUUGCGCUAUUGACGUAAGCUUUCAUGAAGGCCAAACCAAUGCUGAUUCGUCAAUGCUGAUUGUCAGCUUGAAAGUAAAGAUGAGCAAAGUGGUUCAACUGAAUCUUAUGGUUGCAGUAGGGCAUAUUAGAAGUAAGUGACAAGUAUGUGUCAGCAAUUGUUUAUGCUUCUUAACCCUAGAUACUUUUGAUUCAAUCCUUUUGGUGAUGACGUAAUGUGGCAGAAAACAGUAGACACACUUCAUCUCAUCGGAAACCCUGAAUGAUUGGUAUUUGUGAGCAUGUGUGCCUGUGAGUGUGUAAGGGUGGAUGUGGGUGUGUGGGUAUGUAUGUGCGUAUGUGAGGGUGUGCGUGUCAUCUUACACGUAAUUUAGUGAAUGAGUGAAUUGGUACUAGUUUUCAAGUAAAUACGUGCAUGAGUGCGUGUAGUCAGUGGUGUAUGGAACUAGCAUUGUGCCUGCCUGCUGCCAACGAAAUAUGCAAGCCCACACAGAGAAAACAGUUUUAUUGUGCAAAACUACAUGCUGCUGGCAGGGUUUACAUGCAAGUCACAUAUUGCAGGUCUACCAUAAGCAGAGCGAUGUGACAUCUGAUAAGUACCUAACUCACAGCAACACAUACUCUGCAUGUCCAGGGAAAGUGAGUUGUGCUCGGAACAGAUUGGCCAGACAGUUUUGUCCUAUCAAAUUCAGAAUUGUUUCAUCCUCCUCACAGUUGCCAUUAACAUCAUGAGCACACAUUAUUGCUAGAUCUGAAUGCCAGCUGCCUAUUGCACCGCUGGCACGUAGUUUGAGACAAAGAUGCCGCCAGUUUUCCACCUCGCUGCUGAUACAAUGCAAUACUGCUACAAAAUGUCCGUGUUCUGUGUUUUUAGUGUUGUAUGUUUGUAUAUGAGUCUUGCGUCGUGUGAACAUUACCUACAUGAGUUAAAGUGUUCCCGCGAAAGUAGGUACUGAAUUAGCUCAAGCCAGGAUUGCGUUGCGGAUAUAUUUGUAGGCCAUACAAUGUUUUAUGGCGUCAUUUACGACAUUUCCUGUUUUUCUUGUCGUUGUAUGCACGUGAGUUGUGCCGCAUGUUGCGCUUGUAAAUCAUGUUCUCAAUGUCAUUUUCUUUUGGUACAAUUGGUCACCACUACACAUCACUCGCAUACACUCGCCCAAGCAAGUCGGAUAUCAAUCACUGUCCAGAAGUGCAUGAUGCAUUCAACCACGCAUAGAACACUGGCACACCAAGAACAUGAACUCACGCAAAAACGAGAGGGCUAUCACACGACUUCGCAUUGGACACACCGCUAUCACACACAACUACAUCAUCACAAGAAGCCCGAGACCGAAAUGCAACACCUGCAACACUUUCAUCACUGUCAAACAUCUGCUACUCACAUGCCCACAAUACCAACACCACAGGACACACAUACAAACAUACUGCAGAGACGCCAACAUCCCACUAACACUCACAACACUGCUCGGGGACUUACACCCCGAGCUAACAACACUACUCAUCCACUAAAGACACAACACUGGGCUGAUCAAUGACCUGUAAAUCUCCUCCCCUAGAGCCAAGGACAAAAAAGCCAAAAAAGCCAAAAAAAGAAGCAAAAAAGAAAAACAAUAUUCAAAACAAUGAGAAUCAAAAUAAAAGACCCCAGAAUGGCAAAAUGGCAAAAAAAAAACAAAAACAAAAAAAAAUAAUAGAAGGGGCAAUCCGGCUACCGGGAGGAGAUAGCUAGGAACCCAGUCCCACCCCUCAGCCCACCCUUACGAGCCAAGAAGACAACGGACACUUCAAGGCAACGGACGGACCAACAACGAAGACGGACGACAGAACCGGGCCCAAAUACAGGACGCUGUGGUGGCCCGUAAGCUACAAAUACCAUACCAUACCAUACCAGUGCAUCAUGCAUCAGAAUAAGCUUCAUUGAACACACUCGUCAUCAUGAACGGCAUCUAGGAGUUUCAUGAGUUUGGAUCUGUGACCAGCUGAUUUCGCAGUAUCCAAUGGCAACCGUGUAUGACCAGGCGCCGCUUGGACGCCUUGUCCAGUCACGUCUUCUGGGACUGUGUGAUGACUGCCUCUGCAUUCUCAAGUGCCAGUUUCUGCCUCCGGCCCAUUUCAUUAUCAAAGGAUGCUGUUAGCUUAACGAACAGCUCUGCUCCAAGAUUCCAAACGGUUUUACGGUGCAUUACCUGUCAUCUUUACCGUCGAUACCGUUGAAGAUUUUACCGUCGAUCACGGAGCACCCAUUGCGCUGGCCGUUGCUGGCACUUUUUUAUUUGUCACUAGCUAUUAGUUAUCUGC
rnacentral:lncRNA from 1 species